rnacentral:rRNA from 1 species
UUGGGAAAAAAAAAAAAUGAACAAGAUCUCCGUUGGUGAACCAGCGGAGGGAUCAUUACUGAGUUAUCAAAAACUCCAACCCUUUGUGAACCUACCUAUGUUUCCUCCGGCGUACCGCUGUAGCCUACCCGCAGGGCUCCCCCUUAGGGGGGUUUUGCUGGGGAGGUGCCUGAGUGCUACCUAUCCUUCGGGGUACGGUUAGUGCAGUGAAGGUGCCGACCAAGGCCUCGGCGGCGCCGAGUAGGACCGCUCCAAACUUAAGCACUUAGUGCAUCCAACCCCGCGUUGAACAACUAUCGAAAAUUUGCUUUUGCUUUUUUUCUUUACGCUAAAACGUCUUUCCCCGGUUGGAAUUAUUGCUCGAAAUGAUAAUUUCCUUACCCUGUAGUCGUUUGUUUUCAAGCUACAAUAUAUCUGCUCGAAUAAAAUUGCUUCAAUAUUUGCUCGAAAAUUGUUCAAAGCUCUGAGGGGUCUGAAUGAAUUCAUAAAAUUGGCAAAAGCCACCUAUAAACUACGGUUUUUAGGGGGUGAUCAAACCAAGGUUUUAAAAACCAAAUACGUUAAAACUUUCAACAACGGAUCUCUUGGUUCUGGCAUCGAUGAAGAACGCAGCGAAAUGCGAUAAGUAAUGUGAAUUGCAGAAUUCAGUGAAUCAUCGAAUCUUUGAACGCACAUUGCGCCCAUUAGUAUUCUAGUGGGCAUGCCUAUUCGAGCGUCAUUAUAACCCUUAAGCCUUGUUGCUUAGCGUUGGGAAUCUACCCCUCACUGAGGGGUAGUUCCUUAAAUGUAGUGGCGGGGUUAUAGCACACUCUAAGCGUAGUAGUUUAACUCGCUUUCAGGGAGGCUGUAGCUGCUUGCCGUAAAACCCCUUAUAACUUAUAGUGGUGACCUCGGAUUAGUAGAUGCCGCCACCR